GGGGGCGCUGGAGCCUAUCUCAGCUGCAUUCGGGCGGAAGGCGGGGUACACCCUGGACAAGUCGCCACCUCAUCACAGGGCCAACACAGGUGCAUGUCUUUGGAGGUGAGAGAAAGCCGGAGUACCCGGACGGAACCCACGCAGUCACAGGGAGAACAUGCAAACUCCACACAGAAAGAUCCAGAGCCCAGGAUUGAACUCAGGAUCUUCGUAUUGUGAGGCACAUGCACUAACCCCUGUUCCACCGUGCUGCCCCAUAGUCAUAAUGAAAUUAAUAAGAUUAUGAAAUUGUUCAAUAAGGUUCAUGAUGAUUAUCAGGGUUCUUGUUUCUUGUACUUUGUAAACACCUUGAACAGUUUCUUAAAGGGGAACUGCACUUUUUGGAAUGUUUGCCUAAUAUUGACAAUACUUACGUGAGACAAGAACACAUAUGUGUUUCUUUUUUUAAUGCAUUCUAACUCUUCAAUAAACGUUAGCAAAAGUCAGCUAAUAAUGGAGGUAAUGAGAUUUUCUCUCUUGCACUUCUAAAAACAUUUAAAAAACUCUGUACUUACAGAAUUUAUUUACAUGCUGUAAGAACCUGCAGCAUAACCGGCAUCACCCAAAGGCAAAUUUUUAAUUCCGAACAAUCCGUGCAGUCUGGAUUUGUCUGAUUUAUACUUAUUAAAUGAAUGAUUGAGAGAACAGAAUACAAAUUAGGCUUUUUUAUAAUCAAAUUAACUGGCUGAAUUGAUGAAUCGUUGCUGAUAAACGAAUAUAGUCACAAAUGGUUACUCCCUUGUGUACUAUUACUGCCACAUCACAGUUAUUUUUCUUGCCAUGUGUCUAUGAAGAGAGUGACCUUUAAGAAAGCAGCACUUGAUAGGGAUUCAAUAAGAAUUGAAUUGUAUGGAAGCAUAUAUGUACAGUAGUAGUACUAUAAAGUCACAUCAUGCAUAAUGCUGGCACAAAAAGUCAGAAAUUCAUCCCAUUAGUGUGUAAAGCCUCAGCUUUAUUUUGAGGCCAUUUACCUGGGCGGGUAUAGCCCUCCCAAAAGCAUUUGUUUGAUGUGUGAUUGUUUGAGAUGUAUGUUCAUCUGAGACAGGUGUCAAGAGGUUGUUUCAACUGCAAUAAUUACUCCGCAACACAGACGCUUACCAACAGACAGGCCGCAGCCCUUCUCCAAACUCGGAAGAAAUUGCUUGGAUUUAAUGUAACGAUUUUCCCUCCCCCCUCGACUGAUUAUAACAGGUUGUGCGUGACACUAAGCUCGAGUGAGGAGAUCAAUUCCCCAGGAAAGUGUUGUCUUCUUUAGACAGGCCGAUGAGCCAGGAUGAGAGGAAAAAUCACGGAGCAGCGCAUCCCCCGCACCUGCUCCUGACCUCCUUGUUCUGUACAUGGUACCUAGCGCUGGCUAAGGUGCUCCCCUUGGACCGACCGACUGACCAUCCAUACAUCUGUCCAUCCGAAGAUAUAUACAACUAAGGCAGGAAAAAGGGCCUGAAAUUCAUGUCUGCGCAUGCUGCCAGUUCAUUAGGGGGAGGAUGUCAUUCCUCUUCUCGCUGCUGCAGGACAGGCCAAGCGGGCCCCAGGAGGACCAAGCUCUGUUUAAUUCCACAUCAACCGCUCCACUGAGGGCCUUAAUCUCUGCUUGUGUGAUCAAUACUAUA